UGAAUUAUUAGAAGAUUUAAUUGUUGAGGCAAGUUUAGGGCCAAUGUUAACAAAAAAAUCGUUGAAUUUUUCAGCAAUCGUAAUUUUUUCACUGUGCUCUAUAUUUUCUAUGACGAUUUGAGCAGGGAAGUGCUUAUCAUAGUGCUUUAAGAAUAUUUCUAUAAAUUCAUUAUAAGCGGAGCUGGUAUGCCAAAAGUUGCAUUCUUGGUACAUCCUGUCCCACUUCACUGCCGAUAAAAAAGUAUAUCGAAAAGUGAUCGAAUAUAUCCGUUUUGAUUACAUCUGCUUUUAAUGAAGUAUCAUAAAACGAAUUAGUCAAUAUGAUGUCUAUUGCAGUGAUUGAAUUUAAUGUUAUUAGUUGUUAGAGUUGGUUUGUUUACUAUAGGAAAUAUGUACUGUUGAAACAUAUCGUCAAAAAAAGUUUUGGUAACAGCAUAUUAAUUGUAAAGUUUAUAUUUAUGUCCCCAAUACAGAAUAAUAUUUUAUAUUCUUUGUUAUUUUUUAGAAAUAUUUGUGAAUUUGUGAAUUGAAAAGUUUGUUAUACCACCUUCAGGUGGUCUGUAACAGGUGGGCACAAGGACUCUACUGUAUCUUAUUUAUAAAGACUUAAUUAUAGUUAUA